AUCUCUGCACAAUAUAUUUAAAGCAGUAUCAUACUCCUUUAAAUAGUCAUGGCUUCCUUCAAACUGGGAACUGUAGUUUUUAAGUAUGUUGAGAGAUUUUAGGAGACUUUUAUUGCCAUCAUAGAGCUACAGAUUUUAGAGUGCUUUAACAAUCCACUUCUAGAGGAAGUCUGGGAAUUGCAGCUCUCUGUACUGUAUAGUGCAGAUGGGGCCUUAUUCUGUAUUGAUUGGUUGUCAUAUUGACAGACUGCAUUUACAGCUUUUCCUUCUGAUCAAACAGGAAUGUGCCUUCUGGCUUUGUGCAUCACCAGUCCUGGAUACUUGAUGGUAAAUGUACAUGAACUAAAAUCAAUAAUUGAGUGACCUAUCAUGUUAAUUUCCCCCCUGCUAUAUUGUAGGGGUUGUGGAUAUUUGGCAUUAACUAGCUGCCAAUAGCAUUCUGCACAAAAUAGCAUGAAUCCCACAAUAAAUAGCCUGGUUCUUUUUUAAUAUAUGACCAUCAUGCAUCCUGUGGCAUUGAGUCUUGCACAUUAACUGUAUAUUGCAUUGGAAAGUUCUCAAAUAAGAUUUAAAUCGGAUGCCACAACUUAAAGUGAGCCACAGAACUGGAGGUCCCCAAACCAGUACAACAAAGCGCACAUUCCCAUUUUCCUGUUGUUAAGUAACUUGUCAGUUACAUCAUGGGAUUCACUGAAUAGGGUGAAAAGGUGCUUGACGCACUUUCCAUCAUAUACAUGAGAAUCAAUGUGGUUUCCUGGAGAGAGGAUUGUGGCAUGUUGUGUGCUUUGGCUUCCAAUUACAGUAGUGGCACAAGAGUGCGUGCUGUUCAGAACCCGCUUCAGUUCUUAAAACCUUUAGCAGGACUCAAGUUGCUCUUUGUAUCGCUGAGUUUCAUUCUUAGGGUGUACAAACAUUCCUCAUAUACGUAUAGUUACAAUAAGUUUAAAAAUACUUUCUUCCUCCCCUCCCAGCCCUGAGGAUUCCCCCCCCCCCGCCCAGCUUUGGUACAUUGUGUGCAGGUUAUGAUUUCAUGGCUUGUUUUGCCAACUUUUCAGAUUCCUCCCGUCUCCCCUUUUCCCCUUUUGUGUAUUUUAUGACUCAUUCCAUAGUUAACUGUUUACCUGUCCUCAGUUGACUCAAUAAAAGAAGCAAAAUGAAUUUCUACUGUUUUUCUUAGCAUUUCCUUCCAUGCACAUUUACAUUACAGGGGAGCAUAAUUUGUGAGGGAAUUGCACUUUUGCUGUUAAUCUAAAAAUGCUGCAUCCAGAAGGUUCAAAGGCUUUAGGUUACCAACAAGCUGAAAUAAAAAGUUACGCUCCAGUAAAGCCUAUUUUUAAUACACUAUCUGUACUGUAUGUGUUUUGGGUGUGGAGAUGGCAAGUUGUUUAUUCAUGGCAUGAGUAUAGGAACAGUAUGUAUGCUUUUAUCUGAAGACUUGGAGAGGCUUUACCUCAUCUUGCCUCUCUUGGGGCUCUGCUGCCCAGAGACAAGAGAGCUGUUGCCGUGGAGAUGAAGGUGCCCUUUCCUGGCAUGAGACCCGAGACCCUGGUGAGAAGGGGAUCUCUCCUGUUGUUCAGGAUGGGCUGCUUAAAGUGCCUUGAGGCUAUUUUGUUAUUCUUCUCUUUUUUCCACUAGUUUUGUUAGGUCUCCUAAUUAUGAACUGUUGAAUGAAUUGCUGAAUGUGGGUGCAGUACUGAUAUUAUUGGUAUUGGGUAUUAUUAACUGAUCUACUGGUACGUUUAAACUUUUGGUAAUGUUCAAAUGACCUGUAAUUAUGGAAUUGGUAAUGUUAAGUUGUCAUGUAUUGUUGUUGUUGGCAUCCGUCUGUCUCGGGAGACAAUGGAGGAGAACGCCUUUGUUUAAAUUGUCUAUCCUUUGAAGAGCUUUGAGCACCAUGUAUUUGUGGAAAAUGUGCUACACAAAUAAACUGACUAUGACAUUAAUAUGACUUACAAUGACAGCAUCUUAAAUGAGAAUAUAGUGGGUGGCUUCUGAUAAAGUCAUACUCAGAGUAGAUCCUUCAAAAUCAAUGGACAUCAAGUUAGUCUUUAGUCACGUAAUGUUCAUAGUGGGGUAGGAGAGCUGAAAAUAACACCAAUAGUUUUCACAUCUGCCAACCAUUGCACCCCUUUGGUUUCAGACAGUAAAUGGGUAGAUGAGUCUAAAAAGGUUGGGACACAAAUUUUCACAGCCCUGUAGCAGUUAUAGUAGCUCAUUUACCAGAAGUAAUGUACCGUGGUACCUUAGGUUAAGUACUUAAUUUGUUCUGGAGGUCUGUACUUAACCUGAAACUGUUCUUAACCUGAAGCACCACUUUAGCUAAUGGGGCCUCCUGCUGCUGCCGCACUGCCGGAGCACAGUUUCUGUUCUCAUCCUGAAGCAAAGUUCUUAACCCGAGGUAAUAUUUCUGGGUUAGCAGAGUCUGUAACCUGAAGCGUAUGUAACCUGAAGUGUAUGUAACCCAAGGUACCACUGUAGCCAGUUUUCCUGACCUACAUGACAAAGAGAAGGAACGUUGGCAGCGGCAGCAGCACAUUAAAAACAGGAUGUGAAAUACAAAAGAUUUAGCAUGAAUUCCCCCACCCUGCAAUCUUUGUUUGGCAUGACAGAAGCUGACAACACUGCAUCAGUAGCACUUGGAACAGCGAAAUGUAGCUGUCGUUCCCUACUUUUAUGAUUCCCCAGGGCUGCUCUGCCAUUAGACAAAGUGAGGAACCAGCCUCAGGCUGCAGAUUCUGGAGAGCAAUCAGUGGCAGAGAUAUGUUAGGGGAGAGUUGUGUUCCCUUGUGCUAAUUUGCUGUCUUAAGGUGUGGUGGAGAAUGCUGUCCCACUGCCAGUGUUGAAGUAAGAUUCAGCUGUCAGUCUGGUCAGCUUCAGUAUAGGCAAAAGUGGGCUAGGCACCAUCUUUUUAUUCAUCUCAGGCAGCAAAACGUCUUAGGCCAGCCCUGAGAGUCUUUUUAUUAUCUACCAAUAUGUCUUUGCAUUAAGCAUCUACCAAAGAUUUGACUAGAUGUAUCCAUCUAUUGCAGGUUUAGUAGCUCAUCCCUAUUUUUACUGCACUCAGAAACCGAUCCCAUCAAUUCUAGGGAGAAUUGCCUCAGCUGGGGUUUCAGAGUGAUGUUUAAUUAUGCCUUUGUGGAAUGACAUGUGUUUUUUUAUUUAUGUUUAUAUAACACUGGGCUGGGCAAAAGUCCAAUAAGACAAGAGCAACAAGAAGUCAGUGUAAUUCACUUAGAGUGCCUAGAUCUUACCAAGGAAAAGAAGCCAAAAUAUCUAAAUUGUUCUUUUCUUAUAAGCACACAAAUGACUCCUUUGUGUCUCAUACAGUGUUGUAAGCAUUUCCCUGGAUCAAGUUAGUGGGUACAACUCUCCAAUGUGUCUUGGAUUAGAAACAGAAGUGUUAGAGCUUAUCCAGACAAUCAGUUGAAAGCUUGCCCUUACCACAUGUUAGCUUUUGCCAAAUGGCCCAGUGAGCAGCUUGUAUUAAAGGCAAUAAUGUGACAUUCAGUCUGCAUCCUUGAUACCAAGAUGGAUAGCAAGACUGUGGCCUCCGGCAUACAUGGAAAAAAGCAUGGCACCUUUCUGACCUAAGAUAAAGGGGGCUAAUUUGCCUGAAGGGGAGCAUUGCUAAAGGCUCUGUUACUCAAACUCUAUCGGAUGUGGCUUCCAUAGAGGAUAAGGGUGUUGCUACCAGGAACCCUGUGAAAGGCAGGAGAAAUAUUCCUAAGCUGUAAUAUAUGUUAGCAUUCCCAAGACCUCUAUAACCG